rnacentral:rRNA from 1 species
CCUACGGGCGGCUGCAGUCGAGAAUCAUUCACAAUGGGGGAAACCCUGAUGGUGCGACGCCGCGUGGGGGAAUGAAGGUCUUCGGAUUGUAAACCCCUGUCAUGUGGGAGCAAAUUAAAAAGAUAGUACCACAAGAGGAAGAGACGGCUAACUCUGUGCCAGCAGCCGCGGUAAUACAGAGGUCUCAAGCGUUGUUCGGAAUCACUGGGCGUAAAGCGUGCGUAGGCUGUUUCGUAAGUCGUGUGUGAAAGGCGCGGGCUCAACCCGCGGACGGCACAUGAUACUGCGAGACUAGAGUAAGGGAGGGGGAACCGGAAUUCUCGGUGUAGCAGUGAAAUGCGUAGAUAUCGAGAGGAACACUCGUGGCGAAGGCGGGUUCCUGGACAUUAACUGACGCUGAGGCACGAAGGCCAGGGGAGCGAAAGGGAUUAGAUACCCGUGUAGUC